CACGCCCACCCAAAAUUGCCUUUUACUAUAAUUUCUUCAUUUCUACACCGAUUCACUUCAAAUUGAUACUGAACAUCUCUUAUGUCAAUACGGUCAAUCUCAACUAUGUAUGGCCCCAUUACCAACCCUGGGGCACCCCGCCCACACAGCCCACGCCCAACCAAAAUUGCCUUUUACAAUUAUUUCCUUAUUUCUACACCGAUUUACUUCAAAUUGAUACUGAACCUCUCUUAUUACAAUACAGUCAAUCUCAACUAUGCAUGGCCCCAUUACCAACCCUGGGGCGCCCCGCCCACCCAAAAUUGCCUUUUACUAUAAUUUCUUCAUUUCUACACCGAUUCACUUCAAAUUGAUACUGAACCUCUCUUAUGACAAUACAGUCAAUCUCAGCUAUGCAUGGCCCCAUUACCAACCCUAGGGCACCCCGCCCACAUAGGCUACGCCCACCCAAAAUUGCCUUUUACCAUAAUAUCUUCAUUUCUACACCGAUUCACUUCAAAUUGAUACUGAACCUCUCUUAUGACAAUACGGUCAAUCUCAGCUAUGCAUGGCCCCAUUACCAACCCUGGGGCGCCCCGCCCACAUAGGCCAUGCCCACAUAGGCCACGCCCACCUAAAAUUGCCUUUUACUAUUAUUUCUUUAUUUCUACACCGAUUCACUUCAAAUUCAUACUGAACCUCUCUUAUGACAAAACAGUUUAUCUCCACUAUGCAUGGCCCCAUUACCAACCCUGGGGCACCCCGCCCACAUAGGCCACGCCCACCCAAAAUUGCCUUUUACUAUAAUUUCUUCAAUUCUACACCAAUUCACUUCAAAUUGAUACUUAACCUCUUUUGUGACACUACAGUCAAUCUCAACUAUGCAUGGCCCCAUAACCAACCCUGGGGCACCCUGCCCACAUAGGCCACGCCCACCCAAAAUUGCCUUUUACUAUAAUUUCUUCAUUUCUACACCGAUUUACUUCAAAUUGAUACUGAACAUCUCUUAUGUCAAUACGGUCAAUCUCAACUAUGUAUGGCCCCAUUACCAACCCUGGGGUGCUACGCCCAUAAUAGGCCACAACCACCCAAAAUUGUCUUUAUCCCCACGCUUUUUGAAAAGCGUGGGGAUAUUGUGGUUAUGUCCACCGUCCGUCCUGGCCACUAUCUUCUCCUACACUAUUAGCACUAGGACCUUGAAACUUACACACAUGGUAGCUAUGAGCAUAUGAGUGACCCUGCACUAUUUGGAAUUUCGAUCUGACCCCUGGGUCAAAAGUUAUGGGGGUUGGGGUGGAGCCAGGUCAGAGAUUUUUACUCAUUUUUUAAGGUUAUUUUACUAUUAUUUCUUAAUUUCUACACCAAUUGUCUUCAAAUUGAUACUGAACCUGUCUAAAGACAAUACGAUCAAUCUCAACUAUGCAUGGCCCUAUUACCAACCCUGGGACGCCCUGCCCACAUUGGCCACGCCCACUUAAGAUUGCCUUUUACUAUAAUUUCUUUAUUUCUACACCGAUUCACUUCUAAUUGAUACUGAACUUCUCUUAUGACAAUACGGUCAAUCUCAACUAUGCAUGGCCCCAUAACCAACCCUGGGGCGCCCCUGGAUCAAACAUGCGGCGUAGGGAUACGCGUCGGCCUCUGCCGCGCCAUUUCUAGUUGCAUUUAAAUUAUAUUUAAACGAAUCUAAAUGUAUUGAAUGUUUUAUUGAUUUUUCAAUAUUUGUCAUUUUAAUUAAUGCAGCAGUACUGUGGGAUAAAGUAAAAAAAUGUAUUAUUUUUAUAUUCCAUCCUAUGGUGAUCAGAGACUUAGAAAACAGUGUAGACAAAUCAGCGUGCAAUCCAGGAGGGGGAAGUUCUAAAUAUAUGGUAUACAGCACUGUUGCAGCCAACCGAAUUUCCUUCUCUGUGUGAAAUGUUUAAUGUAUGUAAAAUAUGUUAAUGCAAUCUUUAAUUCUGUCAUAUAAACAAAUAUAUAGUUCUUUUUAAUGUGGGGUUAGAUUUUCUUUCAAAAAUGAAUAUCCAUUUAUUACCUCCCCUGAAUUUUGCAAUUUUUAUUCUAUAUUUUAACAUUUACUCUUUUACAUAUAGGGUACAACGUGUAUAUUUUCUGAUUAGUAUUCACUAAAUAUUUAAGAAAAUGUAUAAUUUGCCAUUGAUUACGGUGACAUUAAAAAUAUGUGGUGGUUGCAAAUAUAGGAAAUACUAGUAACAUUUUUUUCACUUAUUAAAUGUCAUAACAAAUUUUUUAUUUUUGUUGACUCUAAAUAGAAUUUCUGUGUGCAAAAUUAGAUUUAAAAGUCUUGAUUCUAUCAUAAGCUGGCAACCUUUGUUUAAACACUGAUCCUCAAAGUUGGUCAUCGUAUUAUCUAAAUGAACUGUUAGUAGUAAUUAAAUAAUCUCAUGAAAGACUCAAUUAAAUACAUGUACAUUCAAGGCUUUGAUAAAGUCAUUUGUGUGAGCGUUUUUAAAACAUACAUACGUCAAAAUGCCUGUGUAUCUUUAAUUGUGUAAUGUCUGCAUGUAUGUUUACCAUUGUGUUUGUUGCAUUGAAAUGUAUGACAUAUGUUUGAUAAAAAAAGUCUGUUCAUUCUUACUGUAAGUGGUGUAAAUUCAACUGUAUAUGGAAAGACCGUGUGCACAAAAUGCUGCAGUGACUUGUAGUUGUGAUGUUUGAAUAAACCUUUGACAGAUUUGCUUGUAA